CCUUUGACGUUAGCGGCGGACGGGUGAGUAACACGUGGGUAACCUACCUAUAAGACUGGGAUAACUUCGGGAAACCGGAGCUAAUACCGGAUAAUAUUUCGAACCGCAUGGUUCGAUAGUGAAAGGUGGUUUUGCUAUCACUUAUAGAUGGACCCGCGCCGUAUUAGCUAGUUGGUAAGGUAACGGCUUACCAAGGCGACGAUACGUAGCCGACCUGAGAGGGUGAUCGGCCACACUGGAACUUAGACACGGUCCAGACUCCUACGGGAGGCAGCAGCA
rnacentral:rRNA from 1 species